UACGUAGGGUGCAAGCGUUAACCGGAAUUAUUGGGCGUAAAGCGUGCGCAGGCGGUUUUGUGAGUCUGGCGUGAAAGCCCCGGGCUCAACCGGGGAGUUGCGUUGGAGACGGCAAGGCUAGAAUCUGGCAGAGGGGGGUGGAAUUCCGGGUGUAGCGGUGAAAUGCGUAGAGAUGUGGAGGAACACCGGUGGCGAAGGCAGCCUCCUGG
rnacentral:rRNA from 1 species